UACGUAGGGGGCAAGCGUUGUCCGGAUUCAUUGGGCGUAAAGAGCGUGUAGGCGGCCAGGUAGGUCGGUUGUGAAAACUGGAGGCUCAACCUUCAGAGGUCGACCGAAACCAUCUGGCUAGAGUCCGGGAGAGGAGAGUGGAAUUCCUGGUGUAGCGGUGAAAUGACGCAGAUAUCAGGAAGGAACACCCGGUGGCGAAAGGCGGGCUCUCGGUCGAAC
rnacentral:rRNA from 1 species